GGAAAUCCAUAUAAGGCAUUGCCAAAGGCUCCAGAAACCCAUGCAUAUUUACAGACUUGAGCUGCUUCAGCUAAAUGGUCUAAUCCUGUAUUAUCCAAAGUCCGGUGACUCAGCUUGUGAAGGGUUAAUUGCUUAUGGGGUUCCGCUCUGCUGAGGAAAGGAAGGCAAAGCAAUGAAAGCAGGAGAGGGAAGCUAAUAGCAGGCUCCCGGCGCUCCCUGCAGGUGAUCUCUCUUAUCCCAGCCAGGCAGCCCUUGCUGAGGAUCCAGCUGGGGGUCAGGAUCCUCCUGAAACUCCCCCUCGCUUAGUUAACUAAAGGUGGAGGGAUCCUCAUCCAGAGCAUUUUCCUUGGGGGAGGAGCCAGAUGUGAGCUAUACAUGGCUAGCCCAGUCCUGGGUUGGUGCUACUCAUCCGGUAUGAAACCUCUUUGGGGAUUAUUCUCCUAUCUCAGCAGAGUGGAGGGAUUAGCCUGUCACAGCUGGACAGAUCAGCCUGACAUCACACCCGGAAGCCAGGUCUUAAAGCCCAGGGCGGGUUGCAGCCUCCAGGUUGGUUUCCAAGCUAAGGAAAUCUGAACUUACCUGAUGAUGUGAAGUAAUGAAUUACUGAAACCUUCCUUCAAGCCAAUCAACCAACAAAGAAAUAUGCUAAGAUGGGUGUGAGCCAGGAAAUGCCAGUCAAACAGGUGCCUGUUGGGGAAAUAUGAUAACCAGAAACCCCGGGCAAAUGUUUCCCAGACCAAAUCUCCUUUGGACUCCACUAUGCACUUCCUGGACGGAGCAUGGGCACAAUGAGGGCGCCCUCUGCUGGCAGCACGAGUAUUUUCAGCGAUUUGCACGCCAAGUUGAAGGAGUCUACAGGAAUAGAAUUUGAAAGAAUUAGAAAAGUGCAAAGGAAGCUUAUUAGGCCCGCCUCCAUUUUUAUAAAUGGCAAUAAAGUCCGACAUAACCAUGAUGGGAAAGUAAAAUACAUAAAUAUAGGGUUCUGUUAUAUUGUAUACCUAGACAAGUUUAGAAGGGAGCAGAGUUUGCUGUUUGAGGCAGAGAGGGAAAGUUGAUGACCAGAGAGGGAGAAGAGAAAUGCUGGAGAGACAUCUUUGAGUAGAUGAGAGACUAUGGGAAUUGUCUGAUGGACAAAUAAGGGUGUGGUUCUCUGCUAGGAUCAUUGGCUGUUCAUCCUCUAACAGGAGGGAAGGCAGAGGGUAGACACAGGUAGAUGGGUAGGUGUCAUAGUGAGAGUUGGUGGAAGGUUGCUUUUGCUUUUACAGUGAAAUGGGAAGCAAAUUCAUCAGCUGAGAGUGAGUUUGCAGGAGGAGAGAGGGAAAACUGAAGCAGUCAUCCAGGAGAAUGAGAGAAUGAUUACACCAGAGAGAUGGAGUGGGAUUGCCCAGCAGCAGGAAAGAGUAUGGAGUCAUGAAUUCAAAGUGUAACCAGUGGAGAUGCCACUUCCGCUUGGGAUGAAGAAAGCUAUAAAUAUUACCCCAUCUUAACCUGCUACGCAAUCAGUUUUUCUCAAACCCAUCAGAGAGCUGAGAUCACAAGGCAGCUAACUACCAGAAUUCCAAAGAGUUAAGGCCUUGUGAGGAGAGAUGGAACUCACUCACGGUGUCACCUGGAGUAGAGCAUGGGAGAGAGGGCCAGCAGGUGCAAGUGGGGAACGAGAAAUAAGCUUAGGUUUUAACCAACUGCCGACGGCCCCGUGUGGGCUAGUGCAUCGCUCCAAAACAGUUGGGUGCUCCAGACACAGGGCAGUCUGUGCUCCCUCACUCACAAGCCUUCCCCUGGAUGCUCCUGAGGAGGAUGACAGGCAGGCAGGAGCCGGGAGAAAGGCUUCCUCCACAGUGCAGGCACACAGAAGGUAACUGAUGGCUGUGUGGGGAUGGGUCCUCAGAUCCGUCUUCUGGACAAGAGAAGAAGAGUGAGAGAACAGGGCGGAAGAAAUAUUUUAAGAGAUAGUGGUCAAGAAUCCCAUAAAAAUAACGAAAUUCAUCAAACCAUAGAUCCAAAAAACUCAGAGAACCAAGAGGGAUAAACACCAACCAAACAAAUCACAACAAAAUCCCCUGGACACAUCAUAGGCUAAUUGCAGAAAACCAGUGUUCAAGCGAGAAUCUUGAAGGCAGCCGGUGGGUUGGUGAAGAUGGGGGGUUGGGGGGGCCAUAGAAAGUCACAUUACACUCAAAGGAACAAAGGGAAGAAGUUCAGUAGAAUCUCAUCAGAAACAGCACAAGCAGAAGACAGUGAAGCAACACCUUUAAAAUACUGAAAGAAAAAGCUAUUGAUCCAGAAUUCUACCCUCAGUGAAAAUAUCUUUCAAAAAUGAGGG
ensembl:lncRNA